rnacentral:rRNA from 1 species
UACGUAGGGUGCAAGCGUUGUCCGGAAUUAUUGGGCGUAAAGAGCUCGUAGGCGGUCUGUCACGUCGGCUGUGAAAACCCGAGGCUCAACCCUUGAAAGCCGGCCGAUACUGUCGGACUAGAGUCCGGAAGAGGCGAGUGGAAUUCCCGGUGUAGCGGUGAAAUGCGCAGAUAUCGGGAGGAACACCAAUGGCGAAGGCAGCUCGCUGGGACGGUACUGACGCUGAGGCGCGAAAGCGUGGGGAGCGAACAGG